GAUGAACGCUGGCGGCGUGCCUAAUACAUGCAAGUCGAGCGAACGGACGAGAAGCUUGCUUCUCUGAUGUUAGCGGCGGACGGGUGAGUAACACGUGGAUAACCUACCUAUAAGACUGGGAUAACUUCGGGAAACCGGAGCUAAUACCGGAUAAUAUUUUGAACCGCAUGGUUCAAAGGUGAAAGACGGUCUUGCUGUCACUUAUAGAUGGAUCCGCGCUGCAUUAGCUAGUUGGUAAGGUAACGGCUUACCAAGGCAACGAUGCAUAGCCGACCUGAGAGGGUGAUCGGCCACACUGGAACUGAGACACGGUCCAGACUCCUACGGGAGGCAGCAGUAGGGAAUCUUCCGCAAUGGGCGAAAGCCUGACGGAGCAACGCCGCGUGAGUGGUGAAGGUCUUCGGAUCGUAAAACUCUGUUAUUAGGGAAGAACAUAUGUGUAAGUAACUGUGCACAUCUUGACGGUACCUAAUCAGAAAGCCACGGCUAACUACGUG
rnacentral:rRNA from 1 species